rnacentral:rRNA from 1 species
UACGUAGGGGGCAAGCGUUGUCCGGAUUUAUUGGGCGUAAAGCGCUCGCAGGCGGCCCGAUGCGUCGUGCGUGAAACACCCCGGCUCAACUGGGGAGGGUCGUGCGAUACGGUCGGGCUUGAGGCCAGUAGGGGGGAUGCGGAAUUCCGGGUGUAGUGGUGGAAUGCGUAGAGAUCCGGAGGAACACCAGCGGCGAAGGCGGCAUCCUGGACUGGUACUGACGCUCAUGAGCGAAAGCGUGGGGAGCGAGUCCGG